rnacentral:rRNA from 1 species
CCUACGGGAGGCAGCAGUGGGGAAUUUUCCGCAAUGGGCGCAAGCCUGACGGAGCAAGACCGCGUGAGGGAGGAAGGCUCUUGGGUUGUAAACCUCUUUUAUCAGGGAAGAAGAUCUGACGGUACCUGAUGAAUCAGCAUCGGCUAACUCCGUGCCAGCAGCCGCGGUAAUACGGAGGAUGCAAGCGUUAUCCGGAUUUAUUGGGCGUAAAGCGUCCGCAGGUGGUUUGACAAGUCUGCUGUUAAAGCGCAGGGCUUAACUCUGUAACGGCGGUGGAAACUGUCAGACUUGAGUAUGGUAGGGGUAGCGGGAAUUCCCAGUGUAGCGGUGAAAUGCGUAGAUAUUGGGAAGAACACCAGCGGCGAAAGCGCGCUACUGGGCCAUUACUGACACUCAUGGACGAAAGCUAGGGGAGCGAAAGGGAUUAGAUACCCCUGUAGUCCUAGCUGUAAACGAUGGGUACUAGGUGUUGACCGUAUCGACCCGGUCAGUGCCGUAGCUAACGCGUUAAGUACCCCGCCUGGGGAGUAUGCGCGCGAGAGUGAACGUACAAAUAGUAAGUUAGUACGGUUCGUUGUAGACGUUGCCGACGGACGACGACGAGGGAGGAGG